GACGAACCGUCCGUAACGUUAUUCGGAUUCGAUCUGGGACGUUAAAGGGCGCGUGGGCUGUUUACCAAGUCCGGGGUGAAAUCUUUCGGCGUUAACCGGAAAACGUGCCUUGGAUACUGGUGAACUCGAGGGAGGUAGGGGCAUGUGGAACUUCCGGUGGAGCGGUGAAAUGCGUUGAUAUCGGAGGAAACGCCGGUGGCGAAAGCGGCUCACUGGACCACAACUGACGGCUGAG
rnacentral:rRNA from 1 species